GGCGACACUGCCGAUUGAUAUAUGGAGGUCUCAUCUGAAGGCUCUUCUGGGGACGAGGCUCUGCCUCCGAGUUUCCAGGUUGACCCACGUGGUUGUGGGCAGGAUUCAGUCGCACAGGCUGUUGGGUCGAGAGCCCAGGCUCCUCACUGGCUAUGGGCUGGAGGCCUCCUUCCAUUCCUUCCCACGUGGACCUCUCCUCGGUCAGCUCACAGCACGGCAGCUGACUCCCCUCAGCAUGAACGGGAGAAGGACCUCACGUGAGCCGGUGCCCGAGACAGAGGCUGCAGGCCUUUUGGAACCUAAUCUUGAACUUGACAUCCAAUCGGUUUUUCCAAUUUUAACUCUCUCCUUAGUUUACCUUUAAGUUUCUUCCUUAAGCUUGUGUCAGCUAGGCUUCAUUCAAAGCGGAAGAUACAUCCCCUGAGUUUACGGCAGGGGAGUAGCAGGGCUGGGCGUGUCCAAAGCACUGGCAAAGUUUAAAAGUCAAAAACAAUGCAUGUUUGAAGAGCUGUUUGGAGAAGAAUUCUAAUACCUCUGAUGCUUCACCUUGAGAAUCCAAUGAGGCUCUGCUGGGCAGAGAAGGAACCGCCAACAGGCUCUCAUCACCCCUCUUGGGUUUCAGUCAGCUGCCGUGCUGUGAGCUGACCGAGGAGAGGUCCACGUGGGAAGGAAUGGAAGGAGGCCUCCAGCCCAUAGCCAGUGAGGAGCCUGGGCUCUCGACCCAACAGCCUGUGUGACUGAAUCCUGCCCACAGCCACGUGGGUCAACCUGGAAACUCGGAGGCAGAGCCUCGUCCCCAGAAGAGCCUUCAGAUGAGACCACAGCCCUGGACAACAGCAUGACAGUAAACUCGCGGGAGACCUUGACUCAGACGCGCCCAGGAAACUGUGCCAGGUCCUGACCCACAGGAACUGAACACAUGUAAAACCAUCAAAACGGGGAAAUCACCAACACGCAUAUACCUGCCUAUUUGCAAUAUGAAGGGUUUGUUCAUCUCGGUCUUCAAGCCAGUUGUUUCAGAACUUGGGUCUGUGCUCUUAGGUUCUACUUUAGACCAUGUCAUUGGACACUGGCAGUCGUCAUAUGAUACAAACCUUCACCUGCCCGCAUCUCACUGACAGCACCGAUAGCACAGGGUUCAGCAGCAUUCUCCAAAAGUUAAGUUCUGUGAAGGGUCUGAGAUUUUACCUAAAUAAAAAGUUAGCUUGUUUAUUUUUGUUUUUAUUUCCAUUACUCUAGGAGGUGG